AAAGAAAGAAAAGCAUCACAAAUCUCACGCACUGUCUCUCGUUCGCGCAAAGCACGCUGCUUUUCUCCGCUUUGCGAGCACCAUAGCCUAGCCCACCAUGUGCGGCGGCGCCAUCCUCUCCGACCUCAUCCCGCCGCCGCGGCGGGUCACCGCCGGCGACCUCUGGCUGGAGAAGACCAAGAAGCAGCAGCAGCAGAAGAAGAAGAACAAGGGCGCGAGGAGGCUGCCACUGCGCCAAGAGGAGGAGGAUGAUUUCGAGG
rnacentral:lncRNA from 1 species